AGAAAAGUAAUCACAAGACUUUUCUGCUCCAAAUCUUUGUCAUGACCCUCAAAGGUAAGAUAAGCAUAGAACUCGUAAGGAAAUUUGAACUGGUAUUGGUCCGAAAGAAAUAGGCCAAGGCCCCGACUGUCGAUCCUUUAGCUCCAGUGGAUGGCUAUACCCAAGCUCUAGCCAUUAGAUCAACUUCUGCUGCAAUGAGGGAUGAAAAUCUCCCCCUA
rnacentral:lncRNA from 1 species